rnacentral:rRNA from 1 species
UACAGAGGGUGCAAGCGUUUAAUCGGAGUUACUGGGCGUAAAGGGCGCGUAGGUGGUUGUGUAAGUUGGAUGUGAAAUCCCUGGGCUUAACCUAGGAACUGCAUUCAAAAACUGCACAGCUAGAGUAUUGUAGAGGGUAGUGGAAUUUCCGGUGUAGCGGUGAAAUGCGUAGAGAUCGGAAGGAACACCAGUGGCGAAGGCGGCUACCUGGACAAAUACUGACACUGAGGCGCGAGAGCGUGGGGAGCAAACAGG